UGGACAGAUUAUUGUAUUCGACUGUAUUCGAUUGUAUUCACGGCGUGAAACAGGAGACUACACUGUUUUUAAACGGAAAGUGAAUCAAUUAACAUAAUAGAGUCCU
rfam:Nicotiana attenuata strain TT scaffold09543, whole genome shotgun sequence.